rnacentral:lncRNA from 1 species
UGCAGGAUUCUGUUUCCUUGCACCUUUAGGAAGCUGCAGAAUGUUUACCUGAGUCACUGCCCUUCGAGGUGGGAAAAGUUGAGUCUCCAUUGAAGAGCAUCUGUCCCAAGGCCUGGAGGAAGAGAGCCAAGACUGUAGCUUUCUGUCAAAAAGAAGAAAGGGAACAAAAGGCUUGUUCUGACCCACAGCUUGGACAGAUUUGGCUCCAGGACCCUCGAGGGAGAUCCAGUCCCACCCACAGGAGUUGGAAGAGGACAGCCCGAGAGACCUUCGCCAAUACCACGGUUGACCAGGGCAAACCAGGAGAGGGCGCCGGUCCUCACAUGGAGAAGAAUGACAGAUAAUUGAUUUUGGUCCAUGAGUGGUCUAGCCAUCUCCAUGAACAAGAACCAGCUCUCCCGCUGAUUUUGUGACUUUGGCUAACUUACCUAUCCAGCAUCUGUUUUUCUCUCAUCAAUAGAAAUGGAAUCAAUAUUUACCUUGGAGGCUUGCUGGGAGAAUUGCCUCAAGUGAUGAAUGAGAGAUCCAGGUAAGGGCAGUAAAAGAGUUGUUGAUGUCCAGCGUUUGUUCCAUUGAUUUCUUUGGGGACAGCAUUUAGAACGUCUGUGGUCUCUCUUUCUUGAAAGAGCAUCUUUGUUUUCUAUUGGGAAAGCAGCCUUCCUUUCUCUGCUCCUAUUGUUAGGCAGAGUUGCCCAUGUCUC